CAUUUAUUGAUUUUUAUUUUUAUUUUUAUUAUUUAUUUUUUGAAUAUAAUCUUUAUUAUUUUUCAAUCCUCUGAUCAGUUGGCUGUGGUGCUGCUUCUAUUGUUGUGAUUCUGUUGGGGUUUUAGUGGAUUUUUUUAAAAAUUUAUUAUCAUUGAUUUUUUUUUUUAUUAUUAUUUUUCAUUUGUUUUCAAUUUUGUUUGGUUGCCGAGAAAAUAUAAAAAGAAGUUGGAAGCUGGAAGUUGAUGUUGAUUAAUGGGCUGUGAUGGGUUGAGACAUUAUCAAUAUGGUUAAAAAUUUUAAAUUCCUGUAUGUCGUUUUCUAGAUUUAUAGCUUUUAGUUGCUAUCAAUGGUACUGAAAUAUUUUGGAACUCAUUGUAAUUUCCGGUUCCAUACAUUAAUGAAACGUGUUGCAAUACAUUUGAAGGACUCUUACAAUUCUUGACUACAUUCAAUGAAGUGGAUCUGGAAGUGGAUUCUAUGGAUUAGAAGAUAGUAUAUUGAUGCAUGAUACAUGUUUGGUGAUUUGCUACUGAUGUUUUGUGCUUCAAGUUGUGAUCACCUAGUUUGUCAUGUGUAGUUCUGAAAAGCCUUAUCUUCAUCACUCGGAUUGGUUUCACCUCCUUGUCCCUUACAUUGGGAUCCAAAUUGUUGAUAUAUGCCCGCAAGUGGCAUGUGGAAGGGGAAAGCUGAGGUGAAAGUUAAGAUAAAAAAGAAAAAGAUGAGUGGUAGCAAACCAAGGGGAAAUUCAAGAAGGACCCACCAUCUACUUGUGAGCUCAUGUAAGGAAAUAGAAGGCAUUUGGAAGGGGGGCAACUCAAAAGGAAGUGGAGCAAAUGAAAGAGAAAAUUUCAGAAGGAGCAAACCAUCUAAAUGCAAUAUCUUGUAUGCUUAGUUCUCUUGGAUUACCCCAAUCUGUAUUUACACUUGUAAAUGAUCAAUUAUGCCUACCAGAAUUUUGUGGAAUUUAGGUAAUCAUAGCAAGACAUUUUGCUGCAGAUUUCUAGUGAGUUUGUUGAGGCCUAAGCUAAAGUUUUAUUGCAAAUUGGGCUUGAACCUGCUGAUUUACAUGGGAUAAUAUUUUGUUUGCUCCCAUAUUUAUGGUUUUUUUUAACACACUUUUGAAAGAAAAUAUAAAAAAAAAAGUUCUUAUAUUGUUCUGUGUUGCAUCUUUGGUUAUAAUUUUCCUGGGUUAGGAUCUUUUUCCAACCAUAUGACUCUUGUGUACCUUCUUUCUUCCUUGUAUGUAAAACUCUAGUGCAAACAUGGGUAGAGGAAUGCAUAUAAGUAAAGAAGAAUAGGCCACCAAAAACCUCUAUAAUUAUGUGCUAGGAAAUGAUAUGUGAAUAAUUGCUGUAAAUGGUCCAAAUAUGAAAGAGCUCUUUUUAGAUACUUGUGUGAAAUCGACUCGUAUAUUAAAGCCAUUGGAAAUACUUAUCAUAAAUUGCAUAACUAGUGAUUUUACAAAUGUAAUGUCUUGCUAUGGUUGUCUGCCAGUCCAAACACUCAAAUUUUAUCUCAAAUCUAUGGUUUUUAGUGUCUAAGACAUUCAUAGAAGCAUUGGUGUGAUAUAUCUGCAAGAGAACUUUCAAUGAAUAAGGUUGAUUAGUAAGUUUGGUUCCUUCGCUGGAUGAUUGAUUUUAUUGAACAUUUGGCAAGUGACCUGGCAAGUGUAUGUCCAAAAUUACUAAAAUUAUUCAGUGAAAGGUCUUUUGGAACUUUGUUGAGGCUUCCAUGAAUGCAGUUAAAGCUUAGAUGCUAAACUGUUGGGAUGAAGUUUGGGUGGAUUGAUUGACAGGAGUCCAUUCUUGAGAUAGUAUUUCCCUGUUUUUAAUUAGGCAAGUCAGGAAAGGUCCAGGAAACUAAACCAAGGGACAAGUGUUUCUACUGUCUUGAACUAUCAGUUAUUUUUGACAACCCAAAACCAGAUCACAGAACCUGCCAGUGAUAUUGCAUUGACCCUUUUUUAACUGAUUGAUUUUGUCAUUCCUCUUCCAAUUUUGAUUUUGCAAAGGCCAUUUAGGUUUCAAGCAGCAUGGUUGACUCCCCAUAACGAAUAGGCUAACUCUACCUCAAUUGCCUUUCCUGCACCAUCUCAUUUGUUUGAGCCCUUCAUUCUGUACUUUCCAUGGAAUGUGAGGUUCCUUCGAUUCUGAUACAGGGCUGAUAUCAUCAGUUUACUGAUGUCUAACUAAACACCUGUAUCAAGAUGGUAAUUUGAUUGUUUUCUGUUUAUGGCAUAGACUUGAGCAGCAUCAAUGGCCAGAGAAAGUUUUUGCUUGUAAAUUCAAAAUAUCUAGAGUUUUUUUGGGUCUAAUAAUGCCUUCCACAGUUCAAAUGGGGGACAGGACCACUUGUUUGAAAUGUAUGAUAUGUGUAUGCUUAACUAAUUGAAUUCAAAAACAAAUUUUUUAAUAUAUGUCCAUAAUUCUUAUCAAUCAUCAAAAUCUUCAAGGAUGAAAGCAUAUAGCAGUUUGAUGGCCUGCACAUUCUUGAAACAUGAUGGAUAUGGAUGGCCUUAAAUGUUGGAUUUCUUUCUUACUAAUUGAAAAUCAAUAUUCUGGGUGAGCACCACCACAGUUAUUACAGUAUCUUUAAGCUUGAAAAACUGAAAAAAAAAAAAACAUGAAUGAAAAAGAGACAGAACUCUGAUAUUGCCCGAGUAGGACCAAAAACAGUUCUGGGUGUUAUGGGUGCUACCCAUUAUUGCAGUAUCUAUCUUUUAAGCUCGAAAAACCAAUAAAGAACACAGAAAAAUAUCAUCAAAACUCUGAUAUUGCCGGAGUAGGAGGCAAAAACAGUUCUGGGUGUUAUGGGUGAGAAGCCCCACCCAUUAUUGCAGCAGUAUCUAUCUUUUAAGCUCGAAAAACCAAUAAAGAACACAGAAAAAUAUCACCAAAACUCUGAUAUUGCCCGAGUAGGAGGCAAUGCAAGUGUCUGUAAAAACCCCAGGGCGAAAAUUCAAUUUAGCAUGGAAAAAGUUGUUUCAUUGCUUCCCUUCUAUCAGUUUUCCUUUCCAGUUUCAACCUCAGCCAUACGGUUCUCUGGCAGUGUCUGCAAGGCUGGUCUCAUCUUGGGCACCUACAAGGUCAAGAAACAACAAAUUUUUAGUAUGUAUGAACACUCUGAUUUACUCUAGCAACCAUGACAACAUUUGAAUGUUGGCCUCACCUCCUUAACAUCAUUCAUAUCUUCAUUGUUUUUGUUUGUAUUUUCCUUGAUCUGCAGCUUCUCUUUGAACAUCUUCCUCAGCUGCCUUAAACUGGUGUCACUGAACUUCUUCAGCAUUAUAUCCUCACCAGUGUCCCUGCUGUUUUUCUUCUUUCCCGUCUCAGUUUUAAGCACCAUUUUCCUGCCACUGUUGUCUAGGUUCUCCUUGUUGUCAGAAAGGAGUGUCAUCAUUUUUGUGGCUGAAGGCUUCUUGCUUGAUGAUUUCCUGGUUGGAGUUGACAGGGUUGGAAGAGGAGCCUGGCCUAGAAGUGGGGAAGCUGCCAAAGGAGACAAUGGGGUUCUGCCUGAAACUGCAGUGUUGAAUGCUGGACAAUGAGGACUCGUUAUCUUUACUGGAGUUGGAAAAUUGUCCAACAAUGAAGAGAAUUUGUAGACUGCUGUGGCAUUUUCUUCUGCAGUGAUCAGUUCAUGAAAAACAACCGACAUUUCGUCUCCCUUGGGCAAUGGUUCAACUGAGUUGUUGGUCUCAUCAACAUCAACACAAACUUCAGAAUGAGGCUCUCCAGUCAUCGACAAUGGAUCAUAACCAUUGGAGGGAGGUGAAACAUCCUCAAAGUCCAUGCUUCCCAGUUUGGCAAAUUCAAGCUCAACCUGUGCUUCUGAUUGAUCAACAACAACAGAGCAAUCAGAACCCGAUUCACCAGAAAAUGCAUCCCCAGCCUUCUGGUUCAAAUCCAUAUCAAAUUCUUCACAGUGGCCUUGAUUUGCUACCUUGCCAUCAUCAUCAUCAUCAUAGUCAGGCUCUCCUUCACUGGCCACAUCCAUUUCAGAGUCCAUGCUCACUGGGUUUUGGCAUACAACUUCAUCAGCAAAGGCACUCAAACUCAACUCUGGUUUCUCAGAAUCAUCAACAGAAGCUUGUAGUGGAGCAGUAAGAUCCAGUUCCAGAUCAGAUUCCCUGCGCUCAUUUUCCAGUUUUGAGUCCUCAUUCAGAUUUUUGGUGUUUGACAAAUUCAACUCUCGUGUCUCAGAAUCACAACUUGGAUCAUCAACAGAAGCUUGUGGUGGAGCAGUAAGGUCCAGUUCCAGAUCAGAUUCCCCGUGCUGCUGCUCAUUCUCCAGUUUCAAACCCUCAUUCAAAUUUUUGGUAUUUGACAUUAUAACUGAAGAAACAUCAGUUCCUGUUGGGUGAUCCACCAGCAAAACUAUUCAUUAUCAGAAACCACAAAACUGUAAACAGCCAAGUACAACAGGCCCAGAAGGAAAAGAUUGAAUGUUUAUUUACCUUUUUUGACUGUGCUUUCAUCACUCAAAUGCACUGAUGUUUUCAGGAUUUCA